rnacentral:rRNA from 1 species
GAUGAACGCUGGCGGCGUGCUUAACACAUGCAAGUCGAACGAAGCACUUUAUUUGAUUUCCUUCGGGACUGAUUAUUUUGUGACUGAGUGGCGGACGGUUGAGUAACGCGUGGGUAACCUGCCUUGUACAGGGGGAUAACAGUUGGAAACGGCUGCUAAUACCGCAUAAGCGCACAGCAUCUCAUGAUGCAGUUUGAAAAACUCCUGUGUUAUAAGAUGGACCCGCGUUGGAUUAGCUAGUUGGUGAGGUAACGGCCCACCAAGGCGACGAUCCAUAGCCGACCUGAGAGGGUGACCGGCCACAUUGGGACUGAGACACGGCCCAAACUCCUACGGGAGGCAGCAGUGGGGAAUAUUGCACAAUGGGCGAAAGCCUGAUGCAGCGACGCCGCGUGAGCGAAGAAGUAUUUAGGUAUGUAAAGCUCUAUCAGCAGGGAAGAUAAUGACGGUACCUGACGAAGAAGCACCGGCUAAAUACGUG